GUGCUUAAUUGGUAGCACAUAUACCAAAAUUGGAAUAAUAGAAGAUUAUAGGCUUGGCCCCUGUACAAGAACAACAUGCGAAUUCAUGAAGCAGUCCAUAUUUAA
ensembl:snRNA U6 U6 spliceosomal RNA